rnacentral:tRNA from 1 species
CGGGGUGGCGAAACUGGCAGACGCAACAGCUUUAGGAGCUGUCGCCCGAAAGGGUGUGGAGGUUCAAGUCCUCUCCCCGGCACCA